rnacentral:lncRNA from 1 species
GUCAGCUUAAAAUCAUUAGUAGAUGUAUAAAGUAAGCCUUCAUUUAUUGUACCUUUAAGAUAGCGGAGUAUCCUUUUUGCUGCAUUAAGAUGGGAUUGAUCUAGUGUCUCAAUGUACCUGCUAAUCAAUCCUACGCCAUAUAGUAUAUCCGAUCUAGUGCAUGUUAGAUAUCUAAGGCUUCCAACCAAGCUCUUGAAAUAUGUAGGAUCAACAUCACCAUCUUCAUUUUUACGGAGUUCCAGUCAAGUUUCAACCGGAAUAGUAACAUAUUACACUUCUCCAUUCCAAAUUUCUUUAAAAUAUCUGUUGCAUAGGCACUUUGAGAAAUAAAAAUUCUAUCUUCUUGUUGCUUAACUUCGAUCCCAAGAAAGUGCGCCAUCAAUCCAAUAUCAAUCAUCUCAAAUUCUUUCGCUAUAUUUUCUUUGAAGGCUUCAAACAUGGAUGGAUUGUUGUCUGUAAAAAUCAAAUCAUCCACAUAUAAAUAGAUAAAUAAUAUACCUCCAUCUUGUUCUUGUUUUAUAUAUACUGCAUGUUCAAACGGACAUUGCAUAAACCUAUUCUUUUUAAAGUAAUUGUCAAUACGGGUAUUUUAUGCUCGGGGGGCUUGCUUGAGUCCAUAAAGAGUUUUUUUCAAUUUAUAAACUUUAUUCAGUUGACCCUCUCGUACGUAUCUAGGUGGUUGCUUGACAUAUAUGUCUUCUUCAAGAUAUUCAUUUAGAAAUGUUGUCUUGACAUCAAGCUGAUAAAUUUUCCAUCUGUGUUGUGCAGCUAGUGAAAUCAACAAUCGAAUUAUCUCCUUGCGUGCAACAAGUGCAAAUAUUUCUCCAUAGUCAAUUCUUGCUUUUUGAGAGUAACCUUGUGCAACCAACCUUACUUUAUACCUCUGAAUUCUCCUUGUAUAUUCUUUUUAAUUUUGUACACCCAUUUUACUCCAAUGGCCUUUUCUCCUUCUGGUAACUCAGUGAGCUUCCAUGUGUUGUUCUUCUUAAUAGAACUAAUUUCUUCAUCCAUUGCUUUC